rnacentral:lncRNA from 7 species
GUUGUUGCUCAAAGAUCCUCGUCUCACACUUAACUACUGGUCCUGGGAGCUGAGAGAGAUCCAGAUGUCGAACACCUGCAGGAACUACUUGCAGGGAACUUUCUUCAUUACCCCUCGGUCAUGACUGUGGAAUUUGAGUUUAUUUAACUUGUGGUCACUUAGCAGCACUCCCCACCAGAGAUGAGUCAGAUGCUGUGCCACUCUCCCAAGGGAAUCUGCUGCAGUUGGGAUCAGAAAAUUAAUGUCAUCCAUCUUGGCACAUGAAGCUUAGAACGUUUUUUCCCAUGCCAUUAAGGGAGAAUGUAAGGAGCACCAUUAGCCCCAGUGGCCUUUCACUGCUUGCAGACCAAAAGUGGAGGUGUUAUCCAGAAUUCAAACCACAGGCCUCUGGAUAUCUCCUUCCGCUCCAAAAUUUGCAGUUACAGAAGAGGCCUUCCUUUAAAAGCUGCAAUUACCUGUGUCAGUAACGUGCCAGCAGUCAGCAGGCUCUGCACCAGCUCCUGGGAAUCUCAUGACUGACCACAUCUGGAAGCCUUCCUUUUGACUUCUGCGCUCCCACACAGCAAGUAAAGCUCCCACAGACUGCACGGCCUCAGUGUGAGGCAGCAGGCAGAGAUGGGAAGGGUGGGCACUUGUCACCCAAAGCUUUAUAAGGAAGAGAACUAAAUACUAUUACCCUUUACUUUGCCUUUUUGAGCACUCCCAACUGAUUCCCAGGAUUCUCUCCCAACAAGUGCUUUGUUUAUUUUUCUUGUUCUUUCUUGUUUGUUGUUGUUGUUUUGUUUGUUUGUUUUCUUUUUGCUUGGAUCAAAUUUUAGUUACCAGCUUACUCUG